UACGUAGGGUGCAGGCGUUAAUCGGAAUUACUGGGCGUAAAGCGUGCGCAGGCGGUUUCUUAAGUCAGAUGUGAAAGCCCCGGGCUUAACCUGGGAACUGCGUUUGAAACUGGGAGACUAGAGUGUGGCAGAGGGGGGUGGAAUUCCACGUGUAGCAGUGAAAUGCGUAGAGAUGUGGAGGAACACCGAUGGCGAAGGCAGGUCUCUGGGCUGACACUGACGCUCAUGCACGAAAGCGUGGGGAGCAAACAGG
rnacentral:rRNA from 1 species